rnacentral:tRNA from 1 species
UCCCUGCUGGCUAAAUUGGUAAAGAAUCUGCCUGCAAUGUGGGAGACCUGGGUUCAAUGCCUGGGUUGGGAA